UACGUAGGUGGCAAGCGUUGUUCGGAAUUAUUGGGCGUAAAGGGUGCGUAGGCGGCGCGGUAAGUCGGGUGUGAAAUCUCGGAGCUUAACUCCGAAACUGCAUUCGAUACUGCCGUGCUUGAGGACUGGAGAGGAGACUGGAAUUCUCGGUGUAGCGGUGAAAUGCGUAGAUAUCGAGAGGAACACCUGCGGCGAAGGCGGGUUGCUGGGCUGACACUGACGCUGAUGCGCGAAAGCUAGGGGAGCGAACGGG
rnacentral:rRNA from 1 species